rnacentral:misc_RNA from 1 species
UUAAUUUAUUCGUUUUUCACUCAGACACACUGUUGACAGGUUUCAGGUGACCACUGGCGGGCGCUCCCCAGCGAGUGCCGGGGGUGCGCGAGGCACGACCCGCCAAAGCAACUAGAUAGGUACACAAUGGGUUGGAGCUGGCACCCAGAGGGCGCCGGUACUCUGUAAUGAUCCUUCCGCAGGUUCACCUACGGAAA